rnacentral:rRNA from 1 species
AGCAGUAGCCGCGGUAAUACAGAGGGUGCGAGCGUUAAUCGGAUUUACUGGGCGUAAAGCGUGCGUAGGCGGCUUCUUAAGUCGGAUGUGAAAUCCCUGAGCUUAACUUAGGAAUUGCAUUCGAUACUGGGAAGCUAGAGUAUGGGAGAGGAUGGUAGAAUUCCAGGUGUAGCGGUGAAAUGCGUAGAGAUCUGGAGGAAUACCGAUGGCGAAGGCAGCCAUAUGGCCUAAUACUGACGCUGAGGUACGAAAGCAUGGGGAGCAAACAGGAUUAGAUACCCCAGUAGUCCCUGUCUCUUAUAC